GCACUUGCUUUGACAGUACAUAUGUUAAUAUUGGAAUGGUACAGAGAACAUUAGCGUGACCCCUGCAUAAGAAUCCAAUGCAUAUCCUACAAAAUUAAGAAUAAGGA
ensembl:snRNA U6 U6 spliceosomal RNA